rnacentral:rRNA from 1 species
CCUACGGGAGGCUGCAGUGGGGGAUAUUGCACAAUGGGGGAAACACUGAUGCAGCGACGCCGCGUGUGGGAAGACGGUCCUCUGGAUUGUAAACCACUGUCCCCAGGGACGAAGAUGACGGUACCUGGGGAGGAAGCUCCGGCUAACUACGUGCCAGCAGCCGCGGUAAUACGUAGGGAGCGAGCGUUGUCCGGAAUUACUGGGUGUAAAGGGAGCGUAGGCGGGACUGCAAGUUGGGUGUCAAAUCUACGGGCUCAACCGGUAGCCGCACUCAAAACUGCAGUUCUUGAGUGAAGUAGAGGUAGGCGGAAUUCCUAGUGUAGCGGUGAAAUGCGUAGAUAUUAGGAGGAACACCAGUGGCGAAGGCAGCAUGCUGGGCUUUUACUGACGCUGAGGCUCGAAAGUGUGGGGAGCGAACAGGAUUAGAUACCCGGGUAGUC